rnacentral:lncRNA from 1 species
AAAUGACACAAGCCUCGAUUUCGAUAAAAUGACGUUGAUGUUGACGUCACUUAAUUAGAUAUUUGUUUUCAUUAAUUUGUUUUUAAAGCAACAGCCAAUAGUGUUAAAAUCAACAACAUCGGACGAAGAUUUUUAAGUUUAAACGUUUCAACAUUUAGUUAUCCCACUAGAAGUGAAAUAUCACAAAUAAUGAGUGAUUAGCGAAUUGUUUCCCUUUGAAAUUUACACGCCAUUAACGGUGUAUACAUGUGUGAAACUGGGUCAGAGAAAACAUGCAGUUACUGCUCUGAAUAUACGCGGAUAUUUAAAGUGACUUGCGGAUUUAUUGAUCGUUAUGGACAACCACCAGCAGUAAGAGAUAUAAAGGUUCACUGCAGUUUUGACUAUGCUCAGCAAGUAUUGUACACAUACUUUGCUAGCAAGUGGAGUUGCUGUGAAUUCUUAUGCAGGCUCUCAGAUUUUCAACCUAGUGUAUGAAAAGUACAAUACUGCUUUUGGAAGAGGAGCAAACAGUGUUGUAUCUAUGGUCCACCAUCACUUCAAGCAUCAUGGCUAUGGAGAAAAGAAUGUUUCAUUACAUAUGAACAAUUAUAGUGGACAAAAUAAGAAAAGUGUUGUAAUAAGUUAUGGAAUGUGGCUUGUUAUGAUGGGUCUACAUGAUGAUUUGGAGUACAACCUGAUGGAGGCCAGGCAUAUAGAAUUCAGUCCUGAACAUGUUUAGAAUGUCUUCUGCAUGACCUGGUAUAGUAUUCUUGAAGGAUUACAACUUCAACCCAGAGACGGAGAUUAAUAUUUUAGGCAGGGGGUUGUCAUGACAGGCAAAUUCUCCAACCGUAUUACCAUUCCUGAUCUGGAUGCCUGUCGACAGUGUUACCUGUAUAAUGAAAUAGCGCCCCUUCGCAGCAACAGCAUUGUAUGCUGAAAACCAGCAAUGCCAAAGCCAUUAAAAUUGAGAACUCAGUCAUUUAAAACGAAGAAUGAAUGGAAAAAAGUGUUUAACAUUUAAAGUAAUAAAGAGAAAGAGCUCAGCUCAUUUGGUAUUUUCUGAAAUUUUAAUUAAUUUGAAAGUGUUUUUGAUUUUUUAAAGAUGUACUAGACCCAAAUUCCAGACAUAUGAAUAUGAACAAAUGCUACAUAUAGUUUAUGUUAACAUUGAAGUAACAAGUUUUAUCGUGUCAGCAGUACAAUGUAUUGGUUAAAUAUAGACACACUGUAUAUAUGUAAGGUUGAACACAGUAUAAAUGUGAAAAUCCUUUAAAACAGUGGAAGAUUUUUCAACAAUCUACUGUUUAGUACUGCAUGACAUAAAAUCAUGAAUGUAGCUCUACAUACACAGUAGAUUUAUACAUUAAGCAAACUUAAAUAUAUCUAUUGAUGAUUUUCUACAUUUGAAGUAAUUACCUAAAUAUUAAAUAUUUUAGUGAAGAUAUAAUUUAUGCAACUAUGUAAAUUGAAAAAAGCUACUCUCCAGGAAGAAUAUUUUGAAAUGAUACUUUUACUUGAAAAUUUUUGUAAAAAAUGAAGAAAAAAUGAAUUCUUUAUUUUAUAAAAAAUGUUGUUGCCAUGGAAACAGAACUUGAGUAUUAAGUAUAUCUGCUUUCAUAGCAGAGUAAUAUGACUUUUGAAUAUAAUUAUGUAAACAAUAGAUGUAUGUUAUAUAAUCAUCACUGAUACUUUUAAUGUUCAAUUGACACUGUCAUUGAGCAAUGCAUCUUACAUUUGAAGUUGAAUGACACAUUACAAAUAUUAAAUAUUUAUGGAAUUGCUUUUAGAUGUUUUUUAGAUGAAUAUAAAUCAGAAAAACCACAAAUUCUUGUUCUUCUGGAGAACUAAUAUAUAUUUUAUAAAUUUACAUUUUUUUGCAUCAAAUGUAGGCUAAAAUGUUUGUUGAAUUGACAUUUAAAGCAAUUGUUGUAUUUUGUUGCUAUGGAAACUUGAAUUAUGACAUUUUUUUGAAUAUGAAAUAGCAUAUUUAUAGCAAGUAGGCAUUGUCAACUGUGCUAAUCAUGUUAAAUACUUUUGAUAUUGAUGGCAAAAUAUGAUAUUAAAAUAUAUGAAAAAAGUA